rnacentral:pre_miRNA from 1 species
AUGAUACUCUUUCCAUCAAACAAAAGAUAUCUCAAGUUUAUCAAAAUUUGGAUGCAUUUAGAUAUGACUUAGUAUAUAAAUGCAUUCAAAUUAAUUUAAAGUUGAGACAUCCUUGUUAGACGGAGGGAGUAUAUA